GACAGAGGGGGCAAGCGUUGCUCGGAAUCACUGGGCGUAAAGGGUGCGUAGGCGGGUCUUUAAGUCAGGGGGGAAAUCCUGGAGCUCAACUCCAGAACUGCCUUUGAUACUGAGGAUCUUGAGUUCGGGAGAGGUGAGUGGAACUGCGAGUGUAGAGGUGAAAUUCGUAGAUAUUCGCAAGAACACCAGUGGCGAAGGCGGCUCACUGGCCCGAUACUGACGCUGAGGCACGAAAGCGUGGGGAGCAAACAGG
rnacentral:rRNA from 1 species